GGAGUUUUCCCUUUUAGAUUUAAUUUUUCUGUGAAAUAAUUUAUUAGGGUAAAAAAUUUCUUCAUGCAUUUUCCUCGAAGUUGACAUAAAAUUGCUAAUGAAAACUCUAUUCCAUUAUAUGGCCUCUCCCGUACAGGCUAACAGCCCCAUCUUUUAUAAUCUGUCAACAAUUUUGAAUUCACUAGCGCAGAAGCUUUAUUUCAACUGUUGAUGCGUUUAGCCUUCCGUGAAUACUCUUGUCUUCUUUGUAGAGGCCAUGAUAUAGGAAUCUGCAAACCUAACUUUCUAUUACUUCUCAUUUUUUGAGUGUACUAGCCAGUAGCCUUGACAAGAACAGCUUCUAUCCUGACGAAAAUCUUUCGGUUCUCCAUGCUGCCAUGUUCUUCAAUUUUUAAUUUUGUUUCUCUAGAGUCGCCAGUGGGAACAAGAACUAUUUGACUUUACUGAUCCAGCUGUCUUUGAUUCAUGGCCCCAUUUAUUAAUGUUUUGAUAAACUUUGUUUCAGAUGGAACAGUUGUGAACACCUUUUUUUACUAGAUACUCCAAUCUUUUUUAAUGGAGGGGCAUUUAUUAGACAUGUUAGGGAAAUCCUCCAGGUUUAGGUUUGCACACUGACAUCGCUAAUGCAAGGUUCCCCAUUUGUGGCACCCCAUUAGAAGCAAUAUAUAUCUUUUUGCUGGAAAACCCGUGUUCUCUGCUACAUGUAGGUUUUUUAAAACUAAAACUUCCAUAAAAUGUGGUUGUUGAAUGUUUAUUUGCAGACACAUUGGCAGUCUCUGAAAGAAGGAUUGUUUUUAUGUGAUGUUGCAGAAGUGCCCCCUUAUUACAUCAUCUAAUAAUGCUUUUCUUUUCAAAAGAAUUUGGCAGUUGAACCAUCUUAUGAAUGCUUUAAUUUAUGUUUUGUGCCUAACAUCCUUCAUCUUCAUUUCCUGACGGGUGAUUGCCAAAAUCUCAACUUCGUCUUCUGUACUUUGGUGACAGUUGAAGCUCCUUCUUGAGGGUAGAAUGGGGCUAAACAUCAUUUAUAUUUAGAUUAGAGAAGUAGAUGUAUAUACAAUGGUAGUCUCUUGACAAUAUAGCAUUACAUCUACACAAAUAAACAUGAUAGACUGCAGAAGUAAUUUGUUUGAUUAUUGUAUGUCAACGUCCAAUAUAAUAAAAAGGAUACUUUCAAGA